AGCGUACGCUGGCGGCAGGCCUAACACAUGCAAGUCGAACGAACUCUUCGGAGUUAGUGGCGGACGGGUGAGUAGCACGUGGGAACGUGCCUUUUGGUUCGGAAUAACUCAGGGAAACUUGUGCUAAUACCGAAUGUGCCCUUCGGGGGAAAGAUUUAUCGCCAUUAGAGCGGCCCGCGUCUGAUUAGCUAGUUGGUGAGGUAACGGCUCACCAAGGCGACGAUCAGUAGCUGGUCUGAGAGGAUGACCAGCCACACUGGGACUGAGACACGGCCCAGACUCCUACGGGAGGCAGCAGUGGGGAAUCUUGCGCAAUGGGCGAAAGCCUGACGCAGCCAUGCCGCGUGAAUGAUGAAGGUCUUAGGAUUGUAAAAUUCUUUCACCGGGGACGAUAAUGACGGUACCCGGAGAAGAAGCCCCGGCUAACUUCGUG
rnacentral:rRNA from 1 species